AAUAGAUACCCCGGUAGUCCUAGCCGUAAACGAUACUCGCUAGGUGUCGGCCACGGUGCGACCGUUGUCGGUGCCGUAGGGAAGCCGUGAAGCGAGCCACCUGGGAAGUACGGCCGCAAGGCUGAAACUUAAAGGAAUUGGCGGGGGAGCACCACAACGGGUGGAGCUUGCGGUUUAAUUGGAUUCAACGCCGGAAAUCUUACCGGGACCGACAGCAAUAUGAAGGCCAGGCUGAAGACUUUGCCGGAUUAGCUGAGAGGUGGUGCAUGGCCGUCGUCAGUUCGUACUGUGAAGCAUCCUGUUAAGUCAGGCAACGAGCGAGACCCACGCCCACAGUUGCCAGCGUACUCUCCGGAGUGACGGGUACACUGUGGGGACCGCCGCUGCUAAAGCGGAGGAAGGAAUGGGCAACGGUAGAUCAGUAUGCCCCGAAUAUCCCAGGCUACACGCGAGCUACAAUGGUUGGUACAAUGGGUAUCUACCCCGAAAGGGGAUGGAAAUCUCCUAAAGCCAAUCUUAGUUCGGAUUGAGGGCUGCAACUCG
rnacentral:rRNA from 1 species